rfam:Brachypodium distachyon strain Bd21 chromosome 3, whole genome shotgun sequence.
UGAUUACUCCCUCCGUCCCAUAUCAAGUGACUCAAAUAUGCCCAAAUACGGAUGUAUCUAUGCCUAAAAAGCGUUUAAAUACAUGUAAUAGAAAGUCACUUAAUAUGGGACGGAGGGAGUAUUAU